rnacentral:rRNA from 1 species
AACCUGGUUGAUCCUGCCAGAGGCCUUUGAUAUUGGGAUUCGACUAAGCCAUGCGAGUCGAGAGGCUUUGGCCCUCGGCUGACGGCUCAGUAACACGUGGAUAAUCUGCCCUUAGGUGGAGGAUAAUCUCGGGAAACUGAGGAUAAUACUCCAUAGAUCUAGGAUGCUGGAAUGCAUCUAGAUUGAAAGCUCCGGCGCCUAAGGAUGAGUCUGCGGACUAUCAGGUUGUAGUCAGGGUAAAGACCUGACUAGCCUACGACGGAUACGGGUUGUGAGAGCAAUAACCCGGAGACGAUAUCUGAGACACGAUAUCGGGCCCUACGGGGCGCAGCAGGCGCGAAAACUUCACACUGUGCGAAAGCGCGAUGAGGGAAUCCCAAGUGUUUGCUCGUAAGAGUAAACUGUUUCUUUGUUUAAAACGCAGAGAGAGUAAGGGCUGGGUAAGACGGGUGCCAGCCGCCGCGGUAAUACCUGCAGCUCAAGUGGUGAUCAUUAUUAUUGGGCCUAAAACGUCCGUAGCCGGUUUAGUAAAUGCCUGGGUAAAUCGUGUAGCUUAACUAUACGACUUCCGGGUAGACUGCUAAACUUGAGACCGGGUGAGGCUAGAGGUACUCCUGGGGUAGAGGUGAAAUUCUGUAAUCCUAGGGGGACCACCAGUGGCGAAGGCGUCUAGCUAGAACGGGUCUGACGGUGAGGGACGAAGCCCUGGGGCGCAAACCGGAUUAGAUACCCGGGUAGUCCAGGGUGUAAACGCUGCUUGCUUGAUGUUAGUUGGGUUCCGAGCCC